GACGAACGCUGGCGGCGUGCCUAAUACAUGCAAGUCGAGCGAAGUUUUUCUGGUGCUUGCACUAGGAAAACUUAGCGGCGAACGGGUGAGUAACACGUAAAGAACCUGCCUCAUAGACUGGGACAACUAUUGGAAACGAUAGCUAAUACCGGAUAACAGCAUUAACUGCAUGGUUGAUGUUUAAAAGUUGGUUUUGCUAACACUAUGAGAUGGCUUUGCGGUGCAUUAGCUAGUUGGUGGGGUAAAGGCCUACCAAGGCGACGAUGCAUAGCCGACCUGAGAGGGUGAUCGGCCACACUGGGACUGAGACACGGCCCAGACUCCUACGGGAGGCAGCAGUAGGGAAUCUUCCGCAAUGGGCGAAAGCCUGACGGAGCAACGCCGCGUGAGUGAAGAAGGAUUUCGGUUCGUAAAGCUCUGUUGUUAGGGAAGAAUGAUUGUGUAGUAACUAUACACAGUAGAGACGGUACCUAACCAGAAAGCCACGGCUAACUACGUGCCAGCAGCCGCGGUAAUACGUAGGUGGCAAGCGUUGUCCGGAAUUAUUGGGCGUAAAGCGCGCGCAGGUGGUUUAAUAAGUCUGAUGUGAAAGCCCACGGCUCAACCGUGGAGGGUCAUUGGAAACUGUUAAACUUGAGUGCAGGAGAGAAAAGUGGAAUUCCUAGUGUAGCGGUGAAAUGCGUAGAGAUUAGGAGGAACACCAGUGGCGAAGGCGGCUUUUUGGCCUGUAACUGACACUGAGGCGCGAAAGCGUGGGGAGCAAACAGG
rnacentral:rRNA from 1 species